rnacentral:rRNA from 1 species
CAAUUGAAGAGUUUGAUCCUGGCUCAGAUUGAACGCUGGCGGCAUGGCUAAAGCAUGCAAGUCGAAUGAGAACCAGGCUUCGGCCUGGGGACAAUGGCGAAAGGGCGAGUAAUGCGAUCGAAUGUACCCCGAGGUGAGGGAUAGCGUCGAGAAAUCGUCGGUAAUACCUCAUGUCCUCUACGGAGAAAAGGCUUGCCGCCUUGGGAGCAGCGAUCGUCCUAUCAGGUAGUUGGUGAGGUAAUGGCUCACCAAGCCGAAGACGGGUAGCGGGUGUGAGAGCAUGACCCGCCGCAUCGGAACUGAGACACUGUCCGGACUCCUACGGGAGGCUGCAGCGACGAAUAUUCCGCAAUGGGCGAAAGCCUGACGGAGCAAUGCCGCGU